CCGAAGUUUCCCGCAGGAUAGCUUGAACGCAACGGUUUUGUCAGGUAAAGCGAAUGAUUAGAGGCCUUGGGGCUGAAACAGCCUUAACCUAUUCUCAAACUUUAAAUGGGCAAGAGGUCCGGGAUGCUUGAGUGAUCCCGGGCGGCGAACGGCGCGUUCAAAGUGGGCCAUUUUUGGUAAGCAGAACUGGCGAUGCGGGAUGAACCGAACGCCGCGCUAAGGUACCCAAGUGUCCGCUCAUCAGAGACCACAAAAGGCGUUGGUACCUCCAGACAGCAGGACGGUGGCCAUGGAAGUCGGAACCCGCUAAGGAGUGUGUAACAACUCACCUGCCGAAGG
rnacentral:rRNA from 11 species